rnacentral:rRNA from 1 species
UGGGGUGCUCGAGUGGCGAACGGGUGAGUAACACGUGAGUAACCUGCCCUUUACUUUGGGAUAACUUCAGGAAACUGGGGCUAAUACCGGAUAGGAGCUCCUGCUGCAUGGUGGGGGUUGGAAAGUUUCGGCGGUUGGGGAUGGACUCGCGGCUUAUCAGCUUGUUGGUGGGGUAGUGGCUUACCAAGGCUUUGACGGGUAGCCGGCCUGAGAGGGUGACCGGCCACAUUGGGACUGAGAUACGGCCCAG